UAGGGGAUGGGGGCAAUAUGAAGCUCCACCCCAUUGUGAGGGAAGGUGUGGGGGCCUCUGCAGGUCUCAUGGUAGAGCAGUGAGUAUAGAAGUUUGGGCUCUGUGAUCAGAAGCGGUGUGUGCAGUUGUGGGGUCUGAUUUGGGAGCAAUGUUUAUUAAAUAGGAAACGCUUGCCUUAUUUUUGCUGUGCAAGAGGCUUCUAGGGAGAUAGUUUUGACUAGGAAGUGGAAAAUGCUGUGCAAAGUAUAGUAGCAGUUUCAGGGUGGGAUUAAGGGUUGCCUGGCCAUCCAUUAGCUAUUAAUUGGAAGUUGAUGCCAGGUUGGGGAGAGCCCUUUCCUGAUGGGAAAAGAAGAGGCAAUCUGCUGCAGGAACAGUCCGUUUGUAACUGCAGAGUCACUGUUUUCCGAAUGUCACUUGGUCUGGAUAAGAGGCUUUCAAGUGUUGCAGGCAUCAAACUAACCAUGUUAAUAAAGUAGCGUCAUAGUUCACUGACUUGCCUUCCAUGCUUGCGCAUGAUGAAAACUAUGUUGGUAGGGACAUCUGAGAAGCUGAUGAACGCCAACAUAUCUGAGCUGGACAUGGAAUACUGUGUAGUGGCGUAUCUGGCAUGGCUGAAACACCACGUGGUCUCUUCUGAGCAGCCACACUAAGCUAAUGGCUGCAGGACUGACUAGACGCUUACUAGAACGGGAGCUGUAGAAAAUCCAGAAGUUUACUGGUUCUGUCCUGCUCCUGUUGGCUAGAUUUUGGUGCUAAAAGUAUGGACUAGCAGUUGAUUUUGUAGCCUUGUCUCAGAAAAGCUGGAGUUUUACUUGUGGUUUUUCAGAACGUAAUAUGCGUUUUAGUUUAGCGUUGUGAAUAUUUCCCUCUGAUCAUAGCGUCUUCAGUCUUGGAAGAAAAACUAAAUGCUCUUUUGUUUGCAGAUAAGAUGCCUCAAGUAAACUCUUCCCUCUCCUAUGGCUCAAAACAGAUCUGCCACCAAAGAGGGAGACUUGCUGCUACUUCACAAGGGUUUGAAUCAUGCACUUGGAAGACUUAUGAAAGAAAUCUUACCUGGCACUGGAAGAUGAAGCAUUAAGCUGUGCAAGGUUGCUCUGGACAGAAAGACGUAGGAUGCCUGCGUCCAGCAGAAGAAACUAUUUCAACUGUUGUCGGUGAAGACGAGGCCUUUCUAAUUGAAGGCUUUCAAAGUGUUUCUGGUCACGAUGGCUAAUGUUGUGGAGCUGUUAAGCCAUGCAGUUGGUGUUACCAGCAAAUAUUUGAUGAUGGAAGAACUGCCAGACACUUGAUAACAGUAUGUUUGUGCAUGGGUGACGCUCAUGGGAAAUUUGCGUGAAGCAAGACUAACUUCUGUCUGAGGAAAGGACUGUUCUGUCUGCAACUUCAUUAGGUAAGAUCACACAGCAGAAAAUUAAAGAGCUUUGGGGAGUAUUUGUAGCCGGUGAUGAAAUUUGAUUCUGCCAGAUGAAUUACUGUGAUAUUACCCAUUUCCGUUCCAUUCUUUCUGAGGUUACACAGCUGCUGAAAGAAGCUUUUAGCAGUUGCGCUACUGCAUAUGUUAAGCCUGUUUUCUUCCUUUAGGUGGAGAGGAAGCUUCAAAACUACUGUAUGAGGAACGAAAAAGGUGGGUAUACCUGGCUACAGUAACUUCUUUGCUGGAACAAGUGAUGAUUACAACCUUAGCUUGAACUCUCUCUCUGAACAGAGAUGAAAAUCUAAGGUCUGAGUUGUUUCCAGCUAACUUCUUGUCACUUUGGUGCCCUAUAACAGUUCCUGUGUCUGUCUUAAUAGGUGGAAGACCCCAGAACAAUGGGUUACACUACAUGAACAGCAGUUUUUAAAAAAAAAAAAAAAAAA